CGUAGUAGGUAACACAUUAAGGGAGCGAAGCAGCCUCACCGAGAUGAGAUGUCGCUAAGUGAAACGGCCAAUGAUACGAACCGAGAUAUCGUUAUUACAUAAUAAAUAAUCUGAACCAAGAUACCACAAAAAACAUGAUAACUCUAAUAAACACAGACCGAGAUACCAUCAUUACAUGAUAAAACUCAUACAAGUAUAACCGGUACACAAGAACUAGGCUAAACAAUAAGCCGAGAUAAUGACAAACAUUAUUUGCUCUCCCGCGUUAGCAUCCAGAUUCCGAGAUACAAAUACCGAGGUACUACCUGCCUGUAUUUCGUAUCUCUACCACGAAAGGGCUUACCUUUAGUACCGAGAUAUGAAAAAUAUGACUUGUUGAACGAGGAAAAUAUGGUCACCAAAAUCUUCUAUAUAAGUCACAUUAUGAGAAAACCCUAAGGUAUUUCUUUCUUUCUUCUUCUACCCACCUAAUAUUUUCUCUUUCUCUUCUCUCUUCUUUCCCCUACUAAAAUGGCUGACUUGAGCGUCGGAGCGAACGCCCGGAGACCCUCUCCGGCGUUCCUUCUGAUCGUUGUUUAUGGAUUUCAGGUGAUGCUUCCGGCAUAGAUCUACCACGGUCUUUCGGUGAUUUAUCACUUGGCGCCGUCUGUGGGAAAUGCUUUCCCUACUUAUUGAUCUGUUACUGUUUAUUGAUAGAGUUUUGGAAAAUGAAAAUGGCGGAUCAUCUAACAUUUUUCUGAGAUGGGUAUUACUGAAAAUGGAAGAUUAGGCGAUGAUUUUGCGCGAGAUGAAGAACGUGAAAACGCUCUCGGACUCCAAAUAAGCUAAGUUCUCUUUUCUCUAUUACAUUCUUUCUAAGAACUGUUGAAACGAGGUUACAUCUAAUGGAUCUAAGGUUUUAUACAGCAAAGAAAAGUGGAAGCACUUUUUCCAAAAUGCCUAUGGGAAAAACAAACAAAUCCGCUGCUUGGAAGAGGCUAAGUUUCAUGUUGCCGUGUUCAUGGCCUGGGUCAUCAUGUUCACUUUACUGCAGACCCAAUUUCAAACGCAAAAAAGGUUUAAGAGCGGUGGUAAAUUUGACAUUGCUGAUAGAUCCCGAUUUGCAAGCUAAACCCGAUGGCAUCAAGGUUUAAGAGAAUCAAAGAUAAAAGAUCUGGAAACCGGCAGGGACAACCAUCGGUGCUAACGCAGUGGGUCCAAGUCACGGCACCGGAGCUCAGGCGAGAAGGACCCGGAGUUAUAGUUUGGGAGCGAGACCCAAUCAGCAGCACGGGGACUUGUGAUUCUUGGGUCGAACCACACCCUUCUGGCUUUUGCUAUAAAAUCUCCAUCUUCUUGAUGGUAUUUUUGACGAAAUAAAGGUUACGAAAGAGAUCCAGAUAUUGCGAAUGGUCAUGGGAAAAAGCAAAUCGCUAAUGCCAAUUACCCAUUUUCUGCCGAUCGCACGGCCACCGCGGCUGCUUGUUUUUCAGUUCAUGCACCCCGCAAUGGUGCAUCGAUGUGGUCGCAAAGAAAAUCGAAAUAGCUCGUAUGUGUCCUGGUAAUGUCGGGGUUUUGGAGUGUUAAUGGAGUUUUACCGGCCCAAACCAACACAGGCGGUACUUCCCUUGCCGGAUUGAAAAGGUGUACUCCUUUCUUUUAUCUCUCCGAUUAUGGCUUAUUUGUAGUGUCAAUGGGUGUUUAAAUGUUAAAGGCUACGUACGUGUAAUAAAAAAUAUUUGAAACGGUAGACAUUGAUUUCAAAUUUUAAUAAACGGUAGACAUUGAUUUCAUUUGCUUAUUAGAUGAUGUGAUGACUACAAUGGUUGCUCACUUGUAUGUUUGCGUAUUCUUGAGUCUUGUGUGUUGUUUGAUUGGAAGUCUAAGUUGCUCUUGCCAUCUGAGUAUUUGAAGAGAAGAAAUUGCUACUGGUAUUUGUUUGAAUUGCAAUAACGUGAUGGUAGGUGGUCGUGUUUAUAAUAGAGAUGCUGCCUUGGAAACUGACAGUUUUUAGAGAGCAAUAAGCAAAUGAAAACGUAUUAAAACCUUCGUUUUAGAGAAAUCUCAAAUAAGAAGCCUAAAAUAGAAGAUAUGGUUGUCUAUGUCAUGAUAGAAGAGGAAAAGGGCUACUUCUUAAAUCCGAAAAUGUUAUAUCCCUGGGUUAUAGCGGGGCGAUUUACUAUGAAAUGUGAUUUUAAAAGUGAAACAACACUCUGUACGUGUUAAGUUAUACUGAAUAUGAAGAUAUGUUCUCUUAAAUUAUAUUUGUUGCAAGUUACUUUUUGAAAAAUGAAAUUCAUAAUUUAUAACAAAUCAAGAACGUGAAACAUGGAAAAAGUGAAUUGCACAUGAGAGAAAAAGAUAAUUACUGAGUUGCACUUAAUUCAAAUUAAUAUAUGUAUACACCUAUUCAUUAUUUUCAAUAAAAUUAAACAGACCUGAAUGAAGAAGGUAUAGUAAACGGAAAAGGACUUCUAAAGAUGCAUAUUAAAGUAUUUGAUUAAAAUUUACAACGGAAACAACCAAAUUCUGCUUAUGGCCUACGUUCGCGUGUUGUAAAUUGGAUGCUUUUAGCUAGUAUAAAUUUUUCCAAAAUGUUAGUAAAUUAAAUUGUUUACUUUUACGAAGCUAGUUAAUUGAUUAAAAAGAUUCUCUACUUAGUAACAGCCUUUUGUGAUUUAGACUGUUUUUCCACUUUAAGUCCUGCUUGGUUCGAUCAUGGCUAUUUUUAACGUAGUAUGGAGUAGCAUUAAACUUGUUUUGUGGUUGUCGGAGUACAUUGACACCAAUCAAAAACUAUAACCCAUUUGAUCAUUUGUUUUACUGGGCAAAUAUGGAAUUUUUAGGAAUUUGCCCCUUUUAAUCUCUGUUAGCCGAAAUUUUCAACGGUUUCAACCUAAGUGUUUACAGCCAAGGGUUAUGACAUUAGAAAUUUAUCCUUUGAUAAGUGGUUGUUUGUUGUUUGACACUCUGCAACUGGUACAUCAAGUAUAGCAGUAUGGCAUAUAUGUCGUUUUUGUUUUGUUUAAGUAUAUAGGUUUCUGCAUAACGUUUUUGGAUCCUGAAAUAUGAAUUUGGUUUUCAUUUGAUAGAAUGUUGCAUGUCUGUUUUGGGUGUCUGAUUUUAAUCUCUUGUGAUUGAACGGAUUUUGGUAUUAUGCAUAAUGUAUUAACUGUCUUAGGGUGAUUAGCGUGGAAAUCCAUGUCAUGAGCAACGUUGAACGAUUUUGCCAAAAAAUUAUCUAACAAUUAAGCAUAGAAGAACUUGAAAUGCUGCACUUUGUGCUCUCUCUUUUCUGAUCCUGCAAAUUUUAAAUAUCCAGGGAGAUUUAAAGCUCCAACAAUUGCCUUUUGUUGGCUACACAAAAGAUUUUGAUUAUUUGUAGGUUAGCUAUAAUUCUAACACUAUUCCCGACUUUUUAUUUGCAAUUUUGAUUGAGAUGAAUCAAAGUUAUGCCAUGUAAGAUAUAUUGCCAAAACAAAUAGAGUAAAUGUGUGUAUAGAGUUGUGAUCUUUUGCUGCCUCCUGUAUCUAUUUAAUAUGUGACUUUAUGGCUUAGCAUUUGAGAAGUACACUUGUAAUUGAUUACUCAGAAGAGUACUAUUUGAUUAAUUUAUUAAACAUAGUAGAGUUGGUCUUUGGUUAAUAUAUUCAGAACCACUUAUCUCAGAGUUUUGUAAUUAAUGACUAUUUAAUAACAUUUCUUAUCAUUAAUUUUGGUGCAUUGAAUUGAACUUUUUGAAUUGGCUAUGUUUGACAAUCUUUGUAACUUUCUACUAGUUGCAGCAAUCAGAUUGGUUUUUAUAAACAGAUUGGUAUUAGCAAGUGUGUUAGAAACUCGGUGUUUCAGGCACAAAAGUUCAAUUUUAACAUAAAGAUCUUAAAUUAACACUCCCCUAGAAUGAAUUGGAAAUGGCGUGUGCAACUUUUGCGAAUGGAAAAAUUUGUCCUAAAAUGCAGUUUAAACAUUGUGCGUGGUGCAGACGCAAAUAAAUUGGCGUGAUUAAUUAUUUUUUAACUUUGAGAUUUGCAAAUUUCUUAUAUGAUUAGUCAUUUUAUUCAAUGAAUAGAAAGAAGAAUGGUUCAUAUAUGACAUAUCAAUUGAUGGUAUACACGUGACUAACACUGUGAAUAAACGUUAAAACCGUGAAAACAUUAUGUGUUUGGGUGGUCAAUUUUAGUUUAAAAGUCUCCCAUUGUGUGUAUAGUCCACAACUGCGAUGAUUGAAUUCUGCGUUAGUUUCUUCAAAAUGCAUUUGCUGGAACAUUUCAUUGAGUUUGCUGCACUACUUGACAUUUUCCAGUUUAAUUUCUUGGUUCAUGAAGUUGAUUUUGGAGUAAAACUUUCUUGAGUUUAUGAUAAUUUUUAAGAAUUCAUAAUUUGAUUUGAAAAAAAUAAAUUCCUCGAGUGGAGUAAGACUUGGUUUCAGCAUAGUUUGUGACCACUCGUUAGUAGCUUUAACAGUUAAACUUUACUACUUGUUAUGGUGGGAACAAAGAAUCACUUUCGAGGUUUAGGGGUCUGCUUUACUACUGAGACGUGUAUUUUUAUCACACACUUGUUGAUCAGUUUCUUGCUGCUACGGAUAGUUUAAACAGCUUUGGCAUUAAGCACAGAACAUUACAGUCCUACAUUCAUUUUCAUACCGCAGUAUGCAUCUUGUUAUAUGCAAAUCUGGUAAGAAUUAGCGCACCUACAUACAUUAAAGUUUCCUAUUUGGUCAACUAAUGUAAGCAAUCUGUUGAUUCAUCAAUAACUAUUACUUAUGUAUUGCUUGAAUGUCUUGAACCUGAAGAUGUUCUAGCCUAUCAUUUGAAUCAAUCAUUAUAUUUUUCCUGUUGUCUUCAUAGAACAUAAUAUGUUGACUUGUGUUAAUGGCAUUAUGUAUCUGUUUUGCACGAGCAACCGGAUAAAAGGGGACUCCGUGGAAUUAGAAGAGUAGGCUUUGCUCCUACGUUUAUCUUUUCCGAGACAACUCAGUCAUAAACCUACAGCAGAGGAACACUAAAAAAGAGGGAGUUUUAUUGAAAGAGAAAGUGACGAAUCCUUUAAAGGAGGUAAUCGUUUCAGAGUUGCUGCUCUAGGUACUCAGGCCUUCAAGGUUGAUUUUUUCAAAUCCAAUCCCCUACAGACCCGUCGACUGUUCGUACUUCAGAGGCGAACCAGAGUUAGAUUGCUUGUCAGUUUCACGUGGAAUAGCAAGCAGUUUGUGAUUUGAGCAUUUGUCAAUCUCCGUUUCUUCAUUCUCGGAGGUUCUUUAAUUAUUUUCAGAAUAAAAGAGUCGAACUGUUUUAAACUCUUAGACCGCAGUAGUAGUAUUGGAUUAUUGAUGUUUUAGUCUUAUACUUAUUGUUUUAGACUAUUGUUUGUUGAUAUAGUUCAACUAUGAUUUUAUCAGCUUUGGCAUGAUUACAGUAACUUUGUUAUUAUUUAUUGAUUUGCCAUGUUGUUGGAGUUUAAUUUGAAA